rnacentral:rRNA from 1 species
CGGAGGAGCACGAAGGUUGGCUAAUCCUGGUCGGACAUCAGGAGGUUAGUGCAAUGGCAUAAGCCAGCUUGACUGCGAGCGUGACGGCGCGAGCAGGUGCGAAAGCAGGUCAUAGUGAUCCGGUGGUUCUGAAUGGAAGGGCCAUCGCUCAACGGAUAAAAGGUACUCCGGGGAUAACAGGCUGAUACCGCCCAAGAGUUCAUAUCGACGGCGGUGUUUGGCACCUCGAUGUCGGCUCAUCACAUCCUGGGGCUGAAGUAGGUCCCAAGGGUAUGGCUGUUCGCCAUUUAAAGUGGUACGCGAGCUGGGUUUAGAACGUCGUGAGACAGUUCGGUCCCUAUCUGCCGUGGGCGCUGGAGAACUGAGGGGGGCUGCUCCUAGUACGAGAGGACCGGAGUGGACGCAUCACUGGUGUUCGGGUUGUCAUGCCAAUGGCACUGCCCGGUAGCUAAAUGCGGAAGAGAUAAGUGCUGAAAGCAUCUAAGCACGAAACUUGCCCCGAGAUGAGUUCUCCCUGACUCCUUGAGAGUCCUGAAGGAACGUUGAAGACGACGACGUUGAUAGGCCGGGUGUGUAAGCGCAGCGAUGCGUUGAGCUAACCGGUACUAAUGAACCGUGAGGCUUAACCUU